CAACCGUUGAUUGAUUUUGUUUGGGCCCGUGAGAGGUGAAUUCUUGGACCGUGGCCAGACAAACAACAGCGAAUGCAAGAGAAAGGAAGGUGUUGUUAAUCAAGAACGAAAGUCAGAGGUUGAAGGUGAAGGAUGCCGCCCUAGUUCUGACCGUAAAUGAUGCCAACUAGCGAUCCGCCGAUGGAAAUUAUAUUGCCUUGUUGGGGAGCUUCCCGGAAACGAAAGUCUUCCGGUUCCGGGGGAAGUAUGGUUGCAAGCUGAAACUUAAAGGAAUUGACGGAAGGGCACCACCAGGAGUGGAGCCUGCGGCUUAAUUUGACUCAACACGGGGAAACUCACCCGGCCCGGACACUGUGAGGAUUGACAGAUUGAUAGCUUUUUCAUGAUUCAGUGGAUGGUGGUGCAUGGCCGUUCUUAGUUCGUGGAGUGAUUUGUCUGUUUUAUUCCGAUAACGAGCGAGACUCUAACCUACUAAAUAGUUGGUACAUACUCUUAGUGUAUACAGCUUCUUAGAGGGAUUUGCGGCGUUCAGCCGAAAGAAAUUGAGCAAUAACAGGUCUGUGAUGCCCUUAGAUGUCCGGGGCUGCUCGCGCGCUACACUGGCAAAAUCAACGUGCUUGUCCUACCCUGAAAGGGGCGGGUAAACCAUUGAAAAUUUGCCGUGAUUGGGAUCGGAAAUUGCAAUUAUUUUCCGUGAACGAGGAAUUCCAAGUAAGUGCGAGUCAUCAGCUCGCGUUGAUUACGUCCCUGCCCUUUGUCACACCGCCCGUCGCUGCCCGGAACUGAGCCAUUUCGAGAAAUUUGGGGACCGUUGAUUUAUUUUUUCUAAAUUACUUUGAUGGAAACCAAUUUAAUCGCAUGCCUUGAACCCCUU
rnacentral:rRNA from 1 species